CUUGUGCCAGCAGCCGCGGUAAUACGAAGGGGGCUAGCGUUGUUCGGAUUUACUGGGCGUAAAGCGCACGUAGGCGGACUAUUAAGUCAGGGNGUGAAAUCCCGGGGCUCAACCCCGGAACUGCCUUUGAUACUGGUAGUCUCGAGUCCGGAAGAGGUGAGUGGAAUUCCGAGUGUAGAGGUGAAAUUCGUAGAUAUUCGGAGGACACCAGUGGCGAAGGCGGCUCACUGGUCCGGUACUGACGCUGAGGUGCGAAAGCGUGGGGAGCAAACAGGAUUAGAUA
rnacentral:rRNA from 1 species